rnacentral:RNase_P_RNA from 1 species
AGCAAUAAAGGACGCUAUCGCUUCUACAGAAGAGGAAAGUCCGGACACCAUAGAGCAGCAUAGCGGAUAACAUCCGUCCAUUGAAAGAUGAGGACUAGUGCAACAGAAAGCAAGUACAGUGCGGCUGUAGUGAAACCAGGUAAACUCUAUGCGGUGCAAUGCCAUGUAUACCAAGAACAGGAAUGGCUCGUUCAAUCUUGGGGGGUAGGCAGCUUUAGCUUUGCAGUAAUGCAAAGCAUAGAUAAAUGAUAGUGCCCUUUUUGGGAACAGAAUCCGGCUUACGAUUUAUUGCAUGCU